GAUGAACGCUAGCUACAGGCUUAACACAUGCAAGUCGAGGGGCAGCAUGAAAGGAACUUCGGUUCUUUUUGAUGGCGACCGGCGCACGGGUGCGUAACGCGUAUCGAACCUGCCUCAUACUCGGGGAUAGCCUUGCGAAAGAAAGAUUAAUACCCGAUGGUAUAAUUAGACCGCAUGGUCUUGUUAUUAAAGAAUUUCGGUUAUCGAUGGGGAUGCGUUCCAUUAGGCAGUUGGUGAGGUAACGGCUCACCAAACCUUCGAUGGAUAGGGGUUCUGAGAGGAAGGUCCCCCACAUUGGAACUGAGACACGGUCCAA
rnacentral:rRNA from 1 species